UACGUAGGUGGCAAGCGUUGUCCGGAAUUAUUGGGCGUAAAGCGCGCGCAGGCGGUUUCUUAAGUCUGAUGUGAAAGCCCACGGCUCAACCGUGGAGGGUCAUUGGAAACUGGGAAACUUGAGUGCAGAAGAGGAGAGCGGAAUUCCACGUGUAGCGGUGAAAUGCGUAGAGAUGUGGAGGAACACCAGUGGCGAAGGCGGCUCUCUGGUCUGUAACUGACGCUGAGGCGCGAAAGCGUGGGGAGCGAAC
rnacentral:rRNA from 1 species